CACCAGCUGACAGCCCCGAAAAUAUCGGCCUGAGGCAUCGGCACUUUCUCUAUCACUGCCUAAAGUGGACCUGAACCUUUGGACCUGAUGUGAACUAGAAUGAAGUUGGCUGGACCUCAAGUACUCUGUGGUACUUUCUCCAUCACUGCCAUAAGUGGACCUGAUGUGAACUAGAAUGAAGUUGGCUGGACCUGCAGUGAAGUGGACCUGAAGCUAACUGGACCUCAAGUAGUCUGUGGAAGCUUCAAGGACCAACAACACAUCUCGGUACGACAAGUGGAGACUCGACCGUACAGACCCGUCCGGUCUCGCAUACGACGCCGUUAACGGCAAACGGAGAAACGCCGCCGCCGACCCGCGGGAAGUACUUUCUCCAUCACUGCCUAAAGUGGACCUGAAAUUUUGGA
rnacentral:lncRNA from 1 species